UCCCAGCGGUCCGAGUCGCAACCACAAUUAUUGGGUCUAAAACAUCUGUAGCUUGCUUUGUAGGUCUCUUGUGAAAUCUUAUAUCUUAAAUAUAAGGCGCGCAGGAGAUACUACAUUGCUAGAGACCAGGAGACGUAAGAAGUAUGGUUAAGGUAGUAGUAAAAUACGUUGAUCUUAAUCAGACUAACAACAGCGAAGGCAUCUUACGAGCAUGGAUCUGACAGUGAGAGAUGAAGGCUAGGGUCGCGAAAAG
rnacentral:rRNA from 1 species